CGCGAGUCGUCGGGUGGUCUUCCCAGUGAAACCAAACCCGCGCGGCGCAAUUAAAGUGAAGGCUGAUUCCGCUCCCUCGUUCUUCGAGUUCGAGGACGGACAGCCAAAGCGGGAUCCGCGAUCAGGGUGACGACUAUCAGUUCCGAACCCCGCGGCGCACCGCUGGCCCGUCUCGACCGCAUCGUCGGCGAGGCGGAGCCUGAGCGUACACGUUGGGACCCGAAAGAUGGUGAACUAUGCUUGGGCAGGACGAAGCCAGAGGAAACUCUGGUGGAGGUCCGUAGCGAUUCUGACGUGCAAAUCGAUCGUCAGACCUGAGUAUAGGGGCGAAAGACUAAUCGAACCGUCUA
rnacentral:rRNA from 1 species